UACGAAGGGGGCUAGCGUUGCUCGGAAUCACUGGGCGUAAAGAGCUCGUAGGUGGUUUGUCGCGUUGUUCGUGAAAACCGGGGGCUUAACCCUCGGCGUGCGGGCGAUACGGGCAGACUUGAGUACUGCAGGGGAGACUGGAAUUCCUGGUGUAGCGGUGGAAUGCGCAGAUAUCAGGAGGAACACCGGUGGCGAAGGCGGGUCUCUGGGCAGUAACUGACGCUGAGGAGCGAAAGCGUGGGGAGCGAACAGG
rnacentral:rRNA from 1 species